GACCAACGCUGGCGGCGUGCUUAACGCAUGCAAGUCGAACGGAAAGGCCUCUUUCGGGGGGUACUCGAGUGGCGAACGGGUGAGUAACACGUGAGUAACCUGCCCUUGACUUUGGGAUAACUUCAGGAAACUGGGGCUAAUACCGGAUAGGAGCUCCUGCUGCAUGGUGGGGGUUGGAAAGUUUCGGCGGUUGGGGAUGGACUCGCGGCUUAUCAGCUUGUUGGUGGGGUAGUGGCUUACCAAGGCUUUGACGGGUAGCCGGCCUGAGAGGGUGACCGGCCACAUUGGGACUGAGAUACGGCCCAGACUCCUACGGGAGGCAGCAGUGGGGAAUAUUGCACAAUGGGUGGAAGCCUGAUGCAGCAACGCCGUAUGCGGGAUGACGGCCUUCGGGUUGUAAACCGCUUUCGCUCAUGACGAAGCUUUGUGUGACGGUAGUGGGUAAAGAAGCACCGGCUAACUACGUG
rnacentral:rRNA from 1 species